rnacentral:rRNA from 1 species
UACGAGAGGCCCAAACGUUAUUCGGAUUUACUGGGCUUAAAGAGUUCGUAGGCGGUGCAGAAAGUGGGGUGUGAAAGCCCUCGGCUCAACCGAGGAAUUGCGCUCCAAACUACUGUACUAGAGGAAGCUAGAGGUGAGCAGAACAGAUGGUGGAGCGGUGAAAUGCGUUGAUAUCAUCUGGAAUACCGGAGGCGAAGGCGGCUCACUGGGGCUUUUCUGACGCUGAGGAACGAAAGCCAGGGUAGCGAACGGG